UUCAGGGCAUGUUUCCUGGUGACCCAGAAUCCAGUGGGAGAACUCCUGCAGGUGUGCAUUUAAAGGCCGUGGGUACAUCUGCAAAAGAAUGCUGGAAUUCUGAGUUUCAGGAGCCAGUGAGCAAUGGGGUCCCAGAAGCCAGAGUCUGGCAAUAUGCAUGUUCACACACACACACACACACACACACACACACACACACACACACACACAGAGGCAAGAAUGGUUUCUGCUAGGAUUGUCCAAAAAUGAUACAUAAUCCAUAGCUGUGUAACUUUGUGUAAUAACCUGUCUAGAGCCUUCAAACCUUUUUGAUAAAAUUAAGAAAUUGGAAUAGGUACCCUCUAAGGAUUUUUCAGUUUAAAAAUUUUAGACUUCUAUGCAAACAUUACUUUCUAUGCUCUUUUGUUUUUCUCUCCCCUGCUCUUUCUGUUUCAUCUUCUGCCUUUCUUCUUUUCUUCCUCUUGGCCAAGGCCCUUCAUUUGCCUCACAGGGGCCAGUGACCCCCAGCAGCCAACCAGGAAAGCCAGCAAAUCAGCAACUGUUUUCACAAGGCGCUGAACUGUGCAAACACACAUAUUGAUUUGCUCUUUGCUCCUGGGCGCAGGGCAGUCUUCUUGCCAAGGGACUGAAAACAUCUCCACCCAUUCUGAGGAAUACACAUGUUCCCUGGUCCAGAAAAGAGACUGGCAGGCUACAGUCCUUAGGCCAAAUCUGGCCCACUGCCUAUUUGUGUAAUAAAGUUUUAUUGGAACACAGUCAUGACAUUUUGUUCACAUAUUGUCUAUGGCUACUUUUAUACUGCAAUGCAGAAGUGGACAGUAUGGCCUGUAAAGCUGAAAAUAUUUCCUAUUUGGCUUUUUGCAUAUAAAGGAUUCUAUGGCUUAGAAGGGUGGAAGAGAAUGGUUAGUUGUUGGACAAAUUCAUUUCUUUGUCUUCCUGGCACGUAUCUAGACUACAUUUCCUAGCCUCCUUUGCAGUUAGGCCUGAUCAUGUAACUGAGUUCUGGCCAAGGAAAUGAGGAAAGGAAUUGAGACUGGCCUGGACUGUUAAAUCUCCCUGACUUGAUCCUCCUAGCUGCAGACAAGCCUAGGCUUGAACCUAGGUGUCAUCCUAUUGGAGGUUCCAGAGAUUC